GGCUUCAGGGCCGGAAGUUGUGGUAGCUGGAGAUGCCAGAGGCCGCCGAGCUUGCAGAUCCUGAGUGGCGAGGCGGGGUGCGUGGCUCGGGAAUGUCGUUUCCUUCGCCCCAGGUUGUGACAGCAGCUCUUCUCGAACCCGAGUACUUCCUGGGUACCAGGUCAGGUCUUGCUACUCGGACCCCGCGCCCGCAUCGCGUCUGGUUGCUAUGGAAACAGCUGUCGCCUUAUGAGAGGCGCUGAGAAUUGCCGCCUGGGUUGUAGAUGCUCAUGGGAUCCCGCGGUUAACCAAGCCGAAAUAGUCACCCUGGAAAGCGGCUGUGGAGAGACUCUUUGCUUCUCAUUUCUCCUGCAUGAAAACAGAGCUUGGACCAUGGAAUAUAAAGACGAGUGAAGGGACUGGAGAGGUGGCUCAGCAAUUAAGAGCGCUUGCUGCUGAGGUUUUCGUACCUUCGCGGAGGCAGGGGUUACAGCAGUCUGUAAUGCCUAGUUCCUGGGAACCCGACACCCUCUUCUGGCUUCCGUAGGCAUCUACACUCACCGUCCUAUACCCACAUGCAGACACGUAAAAUUAAAAAUCUAAUGCCUGGCGUUGUGGCCCACGCCAUUAAUCCCAGCACGUGGUAGGCAGAGGUAGGCGGAUCGCUGAGUCAUGUUCAAAGAUGAGUGAAGUGCACUCAAGCAUUAUAGUGCAAAAACAUUUAUAAUGACUUAGUUAUGUAUAAGAGUCAUAAAUCCGGGUUCCCACCAGAUCCAGCCAGGCAUUUAAAUAAGUAUAAGUGUGCAAACACUCUUCCUGCAAUACGUUGCCCUGUACGUCUUCACCCUGCUUCGUAUCUGUUCAUAUCAUUUAUCACUCUCUAUAGUACAGAUAAUUGUAGUAUCCUUAUUCAUUAGACUAUAAAUUCCAUGAGUUUUGUUCACAGUGUGAACGCAGGAUCUAAAAAACAGUAUCUGGUAAGAAAGUGCACGGUAAGUACUUUUAGAAUGUGGCCAUGGCUUUUGAAUGGAAAAGCACACAUCUAAAGCUGGCACCUUGAGCCGACGAAAUCACUUGGCUGUAAAAGCCCUUCUAGCCCAAGCCUGAAGAGUGAUGUUCAGCACCCAGAAGCCAAGGCAGAAGGAACCAACUCCAGAAAGGUGUCUUCUCCCCGCCACACACACACCCUUCGGCAGUAUCCCGAGCACGGACCCUCCAACUCACACAUAUCAUAAACACACAUAAUUUAAAAGAUCUUUAUAACCAGGCAUGGUGGUACAGGCGGGUGGAUCUAUAUAGUUAUCCACCUAUAUAGAUUACAGGUCAGACAGGGCUGUAUAGUGAGACCCGGUCUCAAGUAAUUAAGUAUUUUUAAACUAAAGCUGGCAGCUCUAGUCAGUUUCAGCCAUUUAUUGAAGCACGAGCCCUUCCUUCUAGGACUUGAAGUUUUUCAACAAUUUUUUUUUAAUUUUGAGAAUCAUUUCAGUGUUUAUUUAUUUAUGGACUCUUCUUUCAGUUUUGAGAUAGGAUCUUCUGUACCCUACAUAUCGACAUAUUAAAGAAGCAGACGUUAUUUUCCAACCUCUAGUGUAAGGAGAUGAUAAUAGAUUCUUCCUGUGUGAAAUCAUCUGAAUUGAAUACAUUAUCUACUAUAAAGUUAGGUUUACAAGUGAGAUGGAAACAUUUGCAGGUUAAUGGACUAGUUUUUUUUUUUUUUAAGCAUCUUAAUCUAGAGUGUUCAGAAUAUGUCUGGACACUUUCUAGGAUUAAUCCCCAGUGUUAGAAUGGAAAUAAGUUACCUAGAAAUUUGGCAGAACCUGUUAAUUUUUUUCCCUCUACUUUUUUUUUUUUAACUUUAUUUAAUGUAUUGUUGCUCUGCUGCAUAUACAUCCUCCUGCCAGAAGAGGGCAUCAGAUCCCCCUAUAGAUGGUUGUGAGCCACCAUGUGGUUGCUGGGAACUGAACUCAUGACCUCUGGAAGAGCAGCCAGUGCUCUUACCCACUGAGCCAUCCCACCAGCCCAAACCUGUUAAUUUUUUAAUUCUAGCAUAUAAGACACAUGGCACCCAUUUAGGGAUAUUUUGGAAUAUAAUCUGAUAUCAAUCCACAUGUGAAUAAGGAGUCCCAAACAGUUAGGUUGCUAGCAAAGACCACAUGAGAUAACUUAAAAGUACUUGUAUUAAAAGCAAAGAAUUGAGGGAUAGCCUUUGAAAAUAUCAUUUUAGAGGAUCCUUGCUCCUGCUGUUUUAUGGUGAGCAUGCUCAAGUAUCUUUAUUUACCUGCUAGCAUACAUACCUAGUCAGUCAGUGAGUUCACUUAAUUAAGAACAGUUUCGGUAGUGAUCAGGAGCAAACCCUGUGUUAGCCACAAGAGGAUAGUUGAGUUUUGUUACUUCACGUAUAGAAGGAAUUGAGCACUUAAAAGAUAUGUCUGAAAUAACCUGCAAAUUCAGAUGUGCAAAGUAAUUUGACUUGUUCAUUUUUAUUUUUUUAAGAUUUAUUUAUUUAUUUAAUGUAUGUGAGUACACUGUCACUGUCUUCUGACACACCAGAAGAGGGCAUCAGAUCCCAUUACAGAUGGUAGUGAACCACCAUGUGGUUGCUGGGAAUUGAACUCUAGAAUAGCAGUCAGUGCUGUUAACCGCUGAGCCAUCUCUCCAGCCCCCUUGUUCAUUUUUCUUAAUGCAGUAUCUUUCGUACUUAUCUCCAUGGUGACAGGAAAUACAAUCAAUUUCAGAUAAAUCCUGUUUCAGUGUUUUUCUCUGUUACUUGGGUUUACAAUCAGCAAGUUCGAUACCUUUACCUUAGGCCACGUACUCAUGUAUGCACCAAGAUCCAUCUUCAGGUAUGUUCUCACUCUCCCGGCACAUGCUUUUUGAGUUACCCUUAUUAUUCCACAAUAGGGACAGUGUUUUCCAGACACACCAUGACAAAGUUGAGUCUACUUGUUGGUGAAGAAACACCAAAGGCAGUGUGCUAAAUCUUGAAAGAGGUAGAAGCAUAUUGCCGUUGUCUUCUAGCUAGGUGAAAUAGGUCGGUCACUUGCAUUCACAACAUCAAGGAAAUCUGUCAGCUCAAAGACCUAAAUAAAGCUUAUCCAUCCAGAGAGCUCCUUCUGCAUUCUGCAGUCUCAUUCCUCCCACAUCAGGAACUGAGCUAAAUGAGUUUCAUCUUAUUAAAUGUAAGUACCCACAUAGAAUUAGUGACUGGUAUAGUAACUUGGCAGACACACACAGGAGGAGCUGCAGUGGGCAACUGAGCUUCCUGGAGACUGCACACCGUAUUCUAUGCUGCGGUGGGUGAAUCCUGGAAAGGCAUGGCCCUGGGAGCUUAGUCAGAGGAUUGCUGUUGAUAUGCCUUUUCAUAUUUGUCAGUGCUGUAUUCAUUAUUUUUCUGAUAAGAUGUGAUGGGACAAAGGAAGUCCCUUUCUGCCUAUAGUCUGUUAUAAUUGAUUCCUGGGCAUUAGCCCACCCUAUUGGGCAAACUUCCUGCAGAUUAACAUGAAGAUGAUGAACUUUAGUGAAAUGAUGCUGUUUAGAUGAAUUAAUGGUUUUAUAGAAUUCCUAAUUCGAUUGAAAUAAUUAUAAGAAGUUAAGACAGUUAAUAGAAAGUUUAAAUUUAGUAUCAAAAGUAGAGUGUACCUCCCCCUUGUAGAAGAGUAAAGUUUGCAUGAGAAGGACUACAGUGAGCUACCAUACAUUAUAAGUGCAUAUAUUACACUAGGAAGAAAAAUAGGCUUGGAACAAAUUAAUGAUCAAAGAAAACAUACAUUCAAGGUCAGGUCCAAGGAUAAGGCCAGAGGUGUGCACCAUGAUAAAGGAAGGCCAUGAUAAAGGUGGGCAAUUCUAUUGAAAAAAAAAAAACAAACUAUUGCUUUGAAUGUAGGCUUAGAUCUUUCAAACUCUACCUUUAAUAAGGGUUCUUAAAUGCUUUAACCCUCCUUCUAGCCCACCACCCACCAGAGGUAUUGGAAAGGGAAGGUUAACAGAGCAAAGGAGGAUGUGGACUUGUUUAGAAAUGGUUCUCUGGAGCAAAUCCAAUCUGCAUUGCCAGGAUAUCAGCAGUUCAGUUCACUUGAACCAGCAGAAGCAGCUCGAUCCACUUACAAACACCAUUCAUGAAUCAGCAACAGCAGGUCGAAACACAAGAAAUAGCGAGGCUCCUCCAAUUGGCUACAGAGUCUACGGAAAUGGAAACAGCAAGAAGUUGCAAGAAGCUGCCUGAACACCACCAGAAUUUUUUGAUGUGUUUCUCUCUAUAAAGUGACAGAUGAAAGAUGACCAGCAAAGAAGAGUAAGGCAUACCAAUACCACACAGCAUCAUCCACUCUUGGUUGGGUUAUACUUAUACCCUUUCCAAAUAUCACAUUCUCUCAAGCAUCUGCUCUAGCAAAACAUCACAUGUCCUUUUUCCAGGCUGCUCCCAGAAAAACACCAGCAAAGCAUCCUCCCACAUGUCUGCCUCAAUAAAAACAGCCUCUCAUAAGACAAUUUCC
rnacentral:lncRNA from 1 species